rnacentral:rRNA from 1 species
UACGGCGGCCAUAGCGGUAGGGAAACGCCCGGUCCCAUUCCGAACCCGGAAGCUAAGCCUACCAGCGCCGAUGGUACUGCAUGGGGGACCAUGUGGGAGAGUAGGACACCGCCGAAC